AACGAACGCUGGCGGCAUGCCUAACACAUGCAAGUCGAACGAGACCUUCGUGCCUAUUGGCGCAGGUGUGGGUGACGCGUGGGAACUUGCACUUGGGUUCGGUAUCACUCCCCGUAGGGUAUGUUAGUACCGGUUAAUGUCAUCGGACAAAGGAUUUAUCGCUUUUGGGUGGGCGCUCGUUAGUUUCGUUAGUUGGUAGUGUAAUAGCAUGCCAAGGCGUCGUUGCAGAGCUGGUCUGAUAGGAUGGUCAGCUAGAAUGGGACUGAGACACGGCCCAGACUGCUACGGGAGGCAGCAGUAGGGAAUAUUAGACACUGGGCGCAAGCCUGAUACAGCCACGCCGCGUGAGUGAGGAAGGCCUUAGGGUUGUAAAGCUCUUUUAGCCGGGAUGAUAAUGACGGUACCGGGAGAAUAAGCACCGGCUAACUACGUG
rnacentral:rRNA from 1 species